AAACAAAAACAAAACGGCAUGACUGUGAGUUCAGGUCAGGAACAGUUACUGUGCAUAUUUAAAUGGAUUAUACGCCAAAUUAAAUGUGCAGUGGUUAAAAGCUGAAUUAAAUAUACAGGAAGAUAACAAGCGGUGACUGGAUUUAUGCUGCAUCGUGUUGGAGGAGACGUUGAACACUGGUUAUGUCGUUGGAAUGGUGGAAUGCAAUUCGGCUCCAUUUCAAUAUCGAGAAAAACGUUCAAAAGGCACUCGUUGACUGAGCCCUAUAUAACGCAGUUCAAUUUCAUUGAUAUUUACCAGAUCAGAAGUCGCCACUUCCUCCGUCAUGUUAUCGAUCUCGUAAAGCAGACGAUUCAUACCGGGAACUCGUGAAUCUGUCUACUUCUACCAUAUUCUCCAGGAUGAAAGACGAAGAAAACGAGCAGUGACCAAUACCAUAACUCGUAUAAGUAAUACAAAAACAUUGGGCAAACACGGACCCCUGGAUAUACCAGAGGUGUUAUCAGGAGCCUAGUAGAUAUUGUGGUACAUUGAUUCGUUUUGACAAAGAAGAAAAUGAAGUAAAUUAUUCUGUAAGACAACUAAAGUACGCGACAUCCAAGGUGAAAACAGGGUUUAGGAGAAAUAAAUCCAUUGCCGAUAUUGGCAACCAAUCUGUGAUCUUCCAUGAUGUUUUGGUGGAAAGAAAUUCAUUCGGAGGUCAUUGCGUCCUCGUAGCGGUUUGAGAACAAAAUGAACACUUUUUAGCAGUUGUAACUAAUGUACGCUUCUUUGUUGACUUCAUCGGUGUAAUAAUUUUAUCAUGCAAUAUGCGUAAUUACGCCGCUAUUUUUAGAUAAGUGUCUGAUCAACUCUAGUCUUGCAGAUUUCAACACAUCCACUUUACCUCGAAUUUCCUCAUCAAGUUUUAGAAUACGAAAUAAAAAAUCAUUAACACAGAAUUUAAAAGCGUAACCACUGCUGUCCAUGCAAAUUUCAUUUAAUAAAAUCUUAUCAACUUUACUUGCUUCUAUAAACAGGGAUCUGUAGCCUCUUUUGUUCAUUAUUACUUGUAAACAAACGCCGCAUGUGUUAGUUGUUUUAAUUGUGGGUGCAGACAUUAAAAUAUCAGAAAUUUCUUCUUGUAACUGAUUGGUCAAAGAAAUGAUGAAGAUGU